rnacentral:rRNA from 1 species
GACGGAGGGUGCAAGCGUUGUUCGGAAUCACUGGGCGUAAAGCGCGUGUAGGCGGUUUGAUAAGUCGAGUGUGAAAGCCCAAGGCUUAACUUUGGAAGUGCACUCGAAACUGUCAGGCUUGAGUACGGGAGAGGGAAGUGGAAUUCCUGGUGUAGAGGUGAAAUUCGUAGAUAUCAGGAGGAACACCGGUGGCGAAGGCGGCUUCCUGGACCGAUACUGACGCUGAGACGCGAAAGCGUGGGGAGCAAAC